GCCGGUGUGGCUUAGAGGUAUAGCGACACCUUGGUAAGGUGUAGGUCGUGGGUUCAAUUCCCACCACCGGCUCCA
rnacentral:tRNA from 1 species